UGCAGAGAAGGCAGGGUGGCUAGGAAUGGCUCUAGUAGAAUUCUCCCCCUAUCUUGUCUGGAAACAAGGGGCAAAGGGCUAUCUAUUUCCUCCUGCCAGGCUCCUGCCCCCAACAGGAUUCCUCACAUCCCAGGACCAGCUGGAAAACGCGGUGAGAGUUGGAAAGAGACUGCUCAGUGAGGACUGCCCUGUGAACCAGCUUGGAUUCAUGGCAUUCACCUCCACGUUCUGCACGCAGGGCCAAGGGAAGGGAGGCAGCCCAGGCAGCUACAGAACUUGAUGAAACACACUCAAUCUGAAUCUCGCUUGAUCGUCAUGCUGACCCAGUGAGGGUCAGGCACCCUUCCCGACUACUCACUCAGCAGCGGAUCUCCACCCGCCUCUGACUCCCAGUGUCUUUCGGCUCCAACGUAAGUUCACCGAACGUCUAAGAGCUGAGGAUUCAAAGGCAUGUACGACCGCCCGUGCCCUCAGCUGCAAGACCUGUCCGCGAUCCUAUGAGCCCCAUUCCGCCCUCUUUCCCCGACCUUGGUCCCCCAUGGGCCCUACAACCAGGUCCCCGACUGACACCUUGACCAGCGAACACAGCAAACAGGCCCUUAGAUGCCGCAGGUCCUUCGGCACCGUCUCCAGGGCCAUCUUCGCCGAUAGGAAGAGCAACAGGGAGAUAGACGACAACAGCCUGUGCACCCGCAGGAAGUAAAUAGCUCGUUACCCAGAAUCCCCGCCACUUCUGGCGCUUAGACUUCCUCUUCCGGUGUGGGCGGGCGCCGGCUCCGCCCCUACCCCCGCCAGAGGAGAUGGUUUCUCCCACCGGCAGGCGGGGAGGCGGGGCGGCCGGCCGCCACCUGGGCCGGGGCGCGUCCCAGCCACCUGAGCCCGCCGAGGGCGCGGCGGAGGCUGUGUAGGGUAGUCAGCGGGCCCCCGGCGGGGGGGACGGAGGGGGCGGCUGCGCUUGCGCGGGAGUGUGUCGGGCUGAGCCGCAGCGCCGAGACGCGGGCCGUUUGAUCUGGGCUGCUGGCCCUGGGCGCCGGUCCUGUUCCCCGAUGGUAACCCGAAGUUUUUUUGUUUUGUUUUGUCUUCCCGUUGUAGAAGCACUGGGGGCAGUGAAUCCACUGUCUCCCUCUGGAUUAUGUCUGGAGAGACCCAGAACGAAUCCAGGGACAGCCCCACCCCUCCUUCCUAACUGCGAGAGCGCUAUAGGGUUUCCACUUGCUUCCCACAGGAAUGCUGGCCUGGGAGCUACGGCGGAAAAAAUGCGUAUUUAUCUUUUAAAACUCCGUCUGUUUGCUCGUUCCGGCUCAUAAUUUAUACUUUGGGCAGUUCUUAGCACUUAGACACGGUUCCUUUACUAAAGAACAUUUGUAGAAGAUUAGGUGUCCUUUUUUCCGCUUUCAUUUCGCCGUCUAGGAAGCGAAAUGCCUUGUUCUAUAGGCACCAAACCACCACCCCUACCAAACCUUUCUCGGGGAAGCAGAAGGGGAACUUGUGCCUUGUGAGGAAGCGACAAAGGCCCUUUCUGGCCCUGGAGACUUCAUGCCAAUGGAGCACCAGCUGUCUGUCCUCGCAAUAGCCCGAGUGCAGGCAGAACGCGGUCAUUUGUGUUUAUCUGAGAGGAGCUUUGGGAUAUAAAUAGUUUCAGGCCCCGCUGCUCUAUCAUUCCAGCCCAGCCUCCUGAUUGAGCUGCUUCUGGGCGGGCUUGCUUCUUGUUGACGGUCCCAUGCUGUGUUCAGAUGGGCUCUGUGACAGGUUUGGAUGUUUUCUAUCACUGAAUAAAACUUUCCACUUUGGAACAUA
rnacentral:antisense_RNA from 1 species